UACGUAGGGUGCAAGCGUUGUCCGGAAUUAUUGGGCGUAAAGAGCUCGUAGGCGGUUUGUCGCGUCUGCCUGUGAAAACGCGAGGCUCAACCUCGCGCCUGCAGUGGGUACGGGCAGACUAGAGUGCGGUAGGGGAGAUUGGAAUUCCUGGUGUAGCGGUGGAAUGCGCAGAUAUCAGGAGGAACACCGAUGGCGAAGGCAGAUCUCUGGGCCGAUAACUGGACGGCUGAAGG
rnacentral:rRNA from 1 species